rnacentral:sRNA from 12 species
UGCGAGUCUAGGUCGGCCAACCGAAAAGCGGGAAACCCUACCCGCCUGGCUCGCGAGUUAAUUAGGGG